CGGUGGGGGACUGCGGAGACAUUA
rnacentral:rRNA from 1 species